ACAUUAGAAGUAUAUUGGGUUGGCUGGAAUACAAGGUUUGGGUUAAGUUUGGGAAGAGCAGGAAAAUAAAAGGAGGUGAGAAUUGAAAGAUAGUUUUGCUGUCUUUCUACGCACGCACACACACACACACAUCCUCCCAAGAAAUUUUUCAGUCUCAGAGCUAGUUUGUUGAUUGACACACAGAUAUUCAGAUUUCUGCUACUUUUUUUUUUUUUAUCACUGCAAGCAGCAGAUUUAUUUAUUACUCACACACACAUAUAAAUGUAUUUUAUAUAUUUGGGCUUUGUUUACUAUUUAUGAGGUUUAAAACAAUUUUGGGAGAUCAGAUGAGGCUUUCAUUCACUUUGAUAGCUUCCUCAUCUGUAAAAUGGGAGAAAUAAUAAUGUAUAGAUCUCAAAGGGUAGUUGUAACCCUUAAAUGACUUAAAUUGCAAAAGUGUUUAGAUCAGUCCUUGGGGUAAUUGUUAGCCUUUAUUAUUAUCAUAAUUGUUUGCUGCUCACAUGAAGAGAAACAUGAGUUGAAGGAAUUUUACUCUAGGUCCCAAAUUCUACUGUAAAUGCAAUUGCAUUUUGCUGGUGAAAUACUUUCUGCCAUUUUGCCAUUGUGGAAACAUUGCUUGACAAUGACUGAUGUCAUUUCUUGCAUGCUUUUUAAACUUGGUAUAAAUGAAGUCUAAUCGAUUGAAUUAUAUCAAGCCCAUUGUUUUCAUUUUUAAAAACAAUACGAAGGCCAGAACAAGCCAGGGAGAUACUGAGUAAAUAUGAAAAGAGAAAUCUCUACAGAAAAAGUAUUCUUGUAGAAAAAAGAGAAAAGUAUUUUCCUUGCAGCAGGGCCCUGACGUGAAUCCAUUUCAAGAGCUGAUCGCAGUUGCUCUGUCUCUGACUCCUGGCUCCAGCCGUUCUCACCAAGACUCUAGGCUAGUUGUGGCCUGUGGUUCUGCAACUCAGCUCUUCGAAGGGCAGGAAGGAAGGGUGGACCUGCUUGAGAUUUCCUGUCUUGCUGUGAGUCACUGAUACAGAGCACUUCUUUUGCACUUCGCUGUCUACUAUCCAGAGAGCAGGAAUGCAGCAGCUGAAGUCAAACCGGAACCAUCCCUCUGCGUCAUGAUAACUGCUCUCACCACCUAUUCGUGCAUGGUCUGCACAUCCUCAGGGGUUGCUCUUCCGCCUAUGGAGCAAGACACUGAAAGAAAGGCUCUAUUAUCUCAAUUCUGCAGGCUGUGAAGUUCAAAGAUUGAGUGACUGCAUCAGGUGGCUCCUGGUGAGGGCCUCCUACUGUGUCAAAAUGAGGUGGAAGUGGAAUCAAGUGCAUGAAAUAACUGUCAAAACAUGAGAGGUAACCUGUCUUUAUAACAACUGGCUCUAUUGGGAAUUACCCCACUCCAACAAGAACUAACCCGGUUUCGUGAGAAAAAUAUUAAUCCAGUUCAUGCACGUCCGUGUGAAGA
rnacentral:lncRNA from 1 species